CCAGCAGCCGCGGUAAUUCCAGCUCCAAUAGCGUAUAUUAAAGUUGUUGCGGUUAAAAAGCUCGUAGUUGGAUCUGUGUCUUACGAUGUCGGUUCACCGCUCGCGGUGUUAACUGGCAUGUCCUGUGGGACGUCCUGCCGGUGGCGGUCCGGGCUCCUGGCCAUGUGUAGGUUCGCCGAAGCAUACCUAGAGUUCCGGCCGCCGAUUCAAUCCCGCCGCGGUGCUCUUGACUGAGUGUCGAGGUGGGCCGGCACGUUUACUUUGAACAAAUUAGAGUGCUUAAAGCAGGCUGAUUUCUGCCUGAAUACUGUGUGCAUGGAAUAAUGGAAUAGGACUUCGGUUCU
rnacentral:rRNA from 1 species